rnacentral:rRNA from 1 species
GGGGAAGGGGCCCUGCGUAUACAUGCAAGUCGAACGCUUGCUUUCCUCCCGAGUGCUUGCACUCAAUUGGAAAGAGGAGUGGCGGACGGGUGAGUAACACGUGGGUAACCUACCCAUCAGAGGGGGAUAACACUUGGAAACAGGUGCUAAUACCGCAUAACAGUUUAUGCCGCAUGGCAUAAGAGUGAAAGGCGCUUUCGGGUGUCGCUGAUGGAUGGACCCGCGGUGCAUUAGCUAGUUGGUGAGGUAACGGCUCACCAAGGCCACGAUGCAUAGCCGACCUGAGAGGGUGAUCGGCCACACUGGGACUGAGACACGGCCCAGACUCCUACGGGAGGCAGCAGUAGGGAAUCUUCGGCAAUGGACGAAAGUCUGACCGAGCAACGCCGCGUGAGUGAAGAAGGUUUUCGGAUCGUAAAACUCUGUUGUUAGAGAAGAACAAGGACGUUAGUAACUGAACGUCCCCUGACGGUAUCUAACCAGAAAGCCACGGCUAACUACGUGCCAGCAGCCGCGGUAAUACGUAGGUGGCAAGCGUUGUCCGGAUUUAUUGGGCGUAAAGCGAGCGCAGGCGGUUUCUUAAGUCUGAUGUGAAAGCCCCCGGCUCAACCGGGGAGGGUCAUUGGAAACUGGGAGACUUGAGUGCAGAAGAGGAGAGUGGAAUUCCAUGUGUAGCGGUGAAAUGCGUAGAUAUAUGGAGGAACACCAGUGGCGAAGGCGGCUCUCUGGUCUGUAACUGACGCUGAGGCUCGAAAGCGUGGGGAGCAAACAGGAUUAGAUACCUGGUAGUCCACGCCGUAAACGAUGAGUGCUAAGUGUUGGAGGGUUUCCGCCCUUCAGUGCUGCAGCAAACGCAUUAAGCACUCCGCCUGGGGAGUACGACCGCAAGGUUGAAACUCAAAGGAAUUGACGGGGGCCCGCACAAGCGGUGGAGCAUGUGGUUUAAUUCGAAGCAACGCGAAGAACCUUACCAGGUCUUGACAUCCUUUGACCACUCUAGAGAUAGAGCUUUCCCUUCGGGGACAAAGUGACAGGUGGUGCAUGGUUGUCGUCAGCUCGUGUCGUGAGAUGUUGGGUUAAGUCCCGCAACGAGCGCAACCCUUAUUGUUAGUUGCCAUCAUUUAGUUGGGCACUCUAGCGAGACUGCCGGUGACAAACCGGAGGAAGGUGGGGAUGACGUCAAAUCAUCAUGCCCCUUAUGACCUGGGCUACACACGUGCUACAAUGGGAAGUACAACGAGUCGCUAGACCGCGAGGUCAUGCAAAUCUCUUAAAGCUUCUCUCAGUUCGGAUUGCAGGCUGCAACUCGCCUGCAUGAAGCCGGAAUCGCUAGUAAUCGCGGAUCAGCACGCCGCGGUGAAUACGUUCCCGGGCCUUGUACACACCGCCCGUCACACCACGAGAGUUUGUAACACCCGAAGUCGGUGAGGUAUCUAUUUUGACCCAGCCCCCUAUAGUGUACCGCCG